UCGUACAUGAUUGCAGGGUCGAAUAUAAUGUUGAAGAGUCUUGCAGUGCCGCUAGUACAGCUAGUGACAGGUGCUUAGACAACCAAUGGGCAAUGGUUACUAUGCCAGCUGGUGGUUAUGUCGUCUAUGGUGUAGCCCAUCAGCACACAGGGGGGCUUGGUUCAACUCUAUAUGGAGAGGAUGGAAGGAUUCUAUGUUCUUCAAUACCAAUUUAUGGAAAAGGAAAGGAAGCUGGAAAUGAGGCCGGUUAUAUUGUAGGAAUGUCCACUUGUUAUCCUCAACCAGGCUCUGUCAAAAUAAAUGACGGGGAGACUCUGAUUGUGUUAUCUAACUAUAGCAGCGCACAGACUCACACAGGAGUUAUGGGUCUCUUCUACAUUUUGGUUGCAGACACCCUGCCAAAGUCAUCCUUGCUUAGCUUGGACGCUCCACUCUGAGUAAUCUACACUUAAAAGUAAGAAUUUGCAGUGGUAUUAGCUGAAGCUGCUGGUGUCCGCCAUCAAGAGCAAUGAGGAAGUAUUUGGCGAUGGCUAUAGGAGGUUGAUUUUGGUGUCAACUUUUAUGUACCAAAAAAUGUAUGCGUCUUGAAUCUACUUCUCACUCAGCACUGUGAUAUGUAGACAUACGUAACCUAUGUACCCUUUUGGUAUGGCAAUAAUUUUACCUUCGUGUUCAUGUGUUUGGUCAAAUGUAAUGAAUUAAGGCUCAGAUUCAGUCUGUUCAAUAUAGAGCCUCCCCCA